UGACCGAUAGUGUAAUGGCAGCACAGGGGUUUUUGGUACCCCUUGUCCAGGUUCGAAUCCUGGUCGGUCAACCA
rnacentral:tRNA from 1 species